AUUGAACGCUGGCGGCAGGCCUAACACAUGCAAGUCGAGCGGAUGAAGGGAGCUUGCUCCUGUAUUCAGCGGCGGACGGGUGAGUAAUGCCUAGGAAUCUGCCUGGUAGUGGGGGCUAACGUCCGGAAACGGGCGCUAAUACCGCAUACGUCCUGAUGGUGAACGUGGGGGAUCUUCGGACCUCACGCUUCCAGCUGAGCCUAGGUCGGAUUAGCUAGUUGGUGGGGUAAAGGCCUACCAAGGCGACGAUCCGUAACUGGUCUGAGAGGAUGAUCAGUCACACUGGAACUGAGACACGGUCCAGACUCCUACGGGAGGCAGCAGUGGGGAAUAUUGGACAAUGGGCGAAAGCCUGAUCCAGCCAUGCCGCGUGUGUGAGGAAGGUCUUCGGAUUGUAAAGCACUUUAAGUUGGGAGGAAGGGAAGUAAGUUAAUACCUGGAUGUUUUGACGUUACCAACAGAAUAAGCACCGGCUAACUUCGUG
rnacentral:rRNA from 1 species